UACACUCACACAGAAAGAGAGAGAGAGAGAAACCGAAAGAAAGAAUGUAGAGAGAGAGAGAGAGAGAGAGAGAGAAAUAGCGGAAAGGAAAAAAGAUGAAACCAGGGAAAGGCACUACACGCUCUGUGUGCCUAAAUGAUGGUGGUGACCCAAUUGGAUUAUUAUUCUUCUUCCAUUGGUAAUUAAGGAGAGAGAGAGAGAGAGAGAGAGAGAGAGAGAGAGAGAGAGAUCUAUCUAGUUUGAAAAAAAAAUCAAGAAUUGGAUGAUGGCGAAAACGGGGGUCUUCGACGGGGGUCCGGCGGCGAGGGCGGCGGAGUUGAAGAGGGAGUUGCAGAGGCUGGUUAUGACCAUUGUCGAUCGCGAGGACGAGGGAGACGACGACGUUUCGAGCGUGGGAACGAUCGAUCGAGCGAUAGAGAAGAUGUGCGUUUUGAAGGAAUUGAAGAAGUGUAAGGGAGGAGGAGGUUUGAAAGUGACGUUCGCGUGUCCGGAAGAGUUCCGGUGCCCUAUUUCGAAAGAGCUCAUGAGGGAUCCCGUUAUUGUCGCCACCGGUCAGACAUAUGAUAGACCAUUUAUCCAGAGAUGGUUAAAAGAGGGCCACCGGACGUGCCCUCAAACACAGCAAGUCCUCUCACAUACCCUCCUAGUUCCGAAUCUUUUGGUCCGGGAAAUGAUAUCACAAUGGUGCAAAACUCGUGGGAUUCAAUUACCAGACCCAGUUCAGUAUUCCAAUGAGGAUGGGUUAACAGAAGCAGACCGGGAAUAUUUCCUCUCUCUGCUCAACAAGAUGUCGUCAACACUGUCUGAUCAGAAGGAAGCCGCAAAGGAAUUGCGGUGUUUGACCAAGAGGAUACCUUCUUUCAGACAACUCUUUGGCGAGUCGCUAUACGCAAUACCUCAGCUUCUCACCCCACUCUCACAACCCCAAACUCAGAGUGAUAAUUGUGAUACUCACCCGGAUCUUCAAGAAGACGUUAUCACUACACUUUUGAACCUAUCGAUCCACGACAACAACAAGAAGUUUGUUGCGGAGACCCCCAUGGUCAUUUCCCUUUUGAUGGACGCAUUGAGAUCUGGAACAAUAGAAACGAGGAGCAAUGCAGCUGCAGCCCUAUUUACACUAUCAGCAUUGGACUCCAAUAAGGCGUUGAUUGGAAAGUCCGGUGCCCUAAAACCGCUAAUAGAACUUUUGGAAGAAGGGCAUCCCCUGGCUAUGAAAGAUGUUGCCUCGGCUAUUUUCAACCUGUGUAUUAUCCAUGAGAAUAGAGCCAGAGCUGUGAGGGAUGGGGCUGUGAGAGUGAUUUUAGAGAAGAUUUUGAAUGGUGUCCACAUUGACGAAUUACUGGCGAUCCUUGCGAUUCUUUCUAGCAAUCCAACGGCAGUUGAGGAAAUGGGAGAGUUUGGAGGGGUUCCUUGUUUGCUUGGCAUUAUACGCAAUAGCACUUGUGCUCGGAACAAGGAGAACGGCAUUGCGAUUCUCCAUACUAUUUGCUUCAGUGAUCGAAACACAUGGAAGGCGAUAAGAGAGGAAGAGAAUAAGUAUCAAACAAUCUCUCAGCUUGCUAAAAAUGGGACGUCAAGGGCGAAGAGAAAGGCUAGCGGUAUUCUUGAGAGACUGAAUAGGGCUGUAAAUCUCACCCAUACCGCGUGACAAGGUCCUUCACCUGUAAAUUCUGCAGAUUCAGUACUUCAACCGCUAUGCGACUCAAACAUCUCAGGAUCACUCUCAACCAACAUGUAAAUUCCAUUCGUCUCCCCCCGGAGUCUCGAGCUCAGGUUAACGAGUUUUUACUGUGAAUAAUUACAGUUUUAGCUUUUGUAUGGUUUUGUUUUUAACAUUUGAGCAAUAAGUCAUUGCACAUGGUCCACUUGAUGGAUUGCUUGAACAAUACAUGAAAGCAACAACAGCAGUUUGUUGCUCAUUUACAUGUCUUACUGUAAUAAUUUUGUUUUCUAUUGUGGCUUUUCUUUUUCGAUUUGUCCAAUAAAUCUUGCACAUGGGUUCCUAGUAGAUUGCUGGGACUUCACCCUUUUUUUGGGUAAA